rnacentral:rRNA from 1 species
UUGGAGGGCAAGUCUGGUGCCAGCAGCCGCGGUAAUUCCAGCCCCAAUAGCGUAUAUUAAAGUUGUUGCAGUUAAAAAGCUCGUAGUUGAAUUUCGGGAUUUGUCAGUUGGUCGGGCUUCAUUGUUCGUACUGAUUUGAUGGAUUCUUACCUUCUGAAUAACCAGCAUGCUAUUAAGUUAGUGCGUUGGGGAAGCAGAUCUAUUACCUUGAAAAAAUUAGAGUGCUUAAAGCAAGCUAGUGCUUGAAUAGAUUAGCAUGGAAUAAUAAAAUAGGACGGUAUGGUUCUAUUUUGUUGGUUUCUAGGAUCACCGUAAUGAUUAAUAGGGAUAGUUGGGGGCAUUAGUAUUCAAUUGUCAGAGGUGAAAUUCUUGGAUUUAUUGAAGACUAACUACUGCGAAAGCAUUUGCCAAGGAUGUUUCCAUUAAUCAAGAACGAAAGUUAGGGGAUCGAAGACGAUCAGAUACCGUCGUAGUCUUAACCAUAAACUAUGCCGACUAGGGAUCGGAUGAUGUUAAUUUUUUAAUGACUCAUUCGGCGCCUUACGGGAAAC